AUAUUUCGUUGUUUGAAUUAGCUUGGGCGGUUGUGGAUUGAUUGUCUAUCUCUUUUGCUAGAUAGUAAUUUUUAUUUGGUUGAAUUUGAUUUAUAUGAGUAUUGCCUGAUGAAGUAUCCAUAGGUUCCGGUUUGUCAAAUUUUGGGGUUGGAUUUUGGUUAUAUUGAUUAAACAUGGGUCUUGCAAUUGAAUGCAUAGGUCUUUGCAUAAAUAGGUAAGGUCUUGGAUUAAAUUGAUGUCUUUGGAUUAUCGGGUUAUUUCUUUGAAUAUUCGGGAAGUUUUGUCUUUGAUUAUUUAGAAAAUUUGGUCCUGGAAUAUUCUGAAAAUAGGGUCUUAUUUGGAAAUUAUUUUGAAAUCUCGGGGGAUUAAAAUUAUUAAAACUUGGUCGAAUUGUUGGCGGUUAAAAUGGGCUGGUAAAAUUUUGCGAAGCUAAUGGGUAAUUAAUUGGGUAUUGGCCUAGUAGAGGUUUUGAUUUAUUUUGCAUUGCAACAGGUGUAGUUUUGGUUGAAAUAUCAACACGGUUAUUAUAAGCGAUAAAGUUUUCUUCUUCUAACGAGAACGACAUGGCUUCUUCGAGAGAUUUUGGAUUUCUUAAAUGUACAACUAACUGCAUAUAGUAAGUAAGACCGUUUAUAAAUGUUUUUAAAAUCAGAUCUUCAAAUUGGAUAAUUUUUUGAGUUUUUAUAUUGAUAUCUUUAAUUUUUGAAAAUAAAAUACUACGGGCAUCUGGCAAGCGUAAACCAAAAUUAUGCGCACUUUCACUACUAUUGGGUUUCAUUGAAAUUAUAUCCUGUAAAAGACAAUCAACUGAUCUUUGAUUGGAGAACGUUGCCAAAAGGGUUGUUUUGAUUUUUACCCAACUAUCGAGUUCAGAACGAGAAGCUAUUAAAUCAGCUGCUCUACCUAUUAGUUUACUAAUUAUUGUAUCGAUUAAACAAACAUUUAUUGAAGCACUUGGGUUAUUUACAUUUUGAUGAUUGGUUAGAUAAUUUUCGCAGAUUCUAAUAAAACGAUUUAUUUGCUUGGGAUUGCCGUCGAAAUGAGGGAUGUUAUCCGCUUGGUACCUAAUUAAUUGAAGAUUCACCGUAUCCGGCAUUGUGUUUAAAUUAAUGUCAGUAUCGGAAUUGGAAUUAGAUGAUGUAUUAAAAUUAUCAACAGAAGCUACUCUAGGUUUUAACACUAACGUUUCAAAACGAGAAAUUAAUCUUUCCAGAUUUUUUAAAAAACUUUAUUCAAGCGAGAUGACAAAAAGCUGGCGAUGUGGUUCGCACCGUGGUUUCAUAUAAACAAAUUGCUGACACUUUGGGAAACUAGUAAUACAAUAUAUAUGGGAAACUUUAUUCAGCGGUUUACAAUAUUAAAGCAUUUAUAACUCGAGUGAAUAACUUACAAUUGCACAAUAGCGUAAUGUUUUUUCUUUUCGAUUCUUCGUACACAGAAUUCCUGGUUUCUUUCUCCAAAUAUUGGUACCGAAUCUAAUUUUUUACGAAAACUUUUUCCGAACUUAUUAUCGGUUUUAACGGAGCAAAUAAAACAGCGUAUGCUCUGACCUCGCAUCUCUUAUGUUCUAUAGUUUCUUGUAAUAUUGCCCUUGUCCUCCUUUGGUAACAGGAUUGGAAACCAAUAUUUAUUUAAUACACUACUUGAAAUAUAUUUUAAUGAAAUCGUUUGGUUAGAGUAUCUCUUGUCCUUACUUGUUCAUAGAUUAAGAUAGUGUUGAAUAAGUAAAUUAAUUACUCUCCAUUUUAUUUUAUUUUUUUUGACUAUUUUCUAUACGAACAUAAAAAAUAAAUAAACAAAAUAAAAAUUAAUAUCAUUAUUUUCAAUGGCUAACGCAAUAAAGCUAUUUAUUAUUAUUAUUAUUUUUCCUCCUUAUUAGGGUAGCAGCUUUAGUGGGGUUUAUUAACCAGUCACUAAAGUUGGGGGGGGGUUAUGUCUCCGGGAUAUUCAGGGUCUUUCGGACGAUUUUGCAAGUUUCAAGUAUUACGGACUUUUGCAUUUUUGUAACGAUGGUUUUAUUCGCUAUAUUCAGUCUUUCCAGGUAUCCUGCAAGCUUCUUGGUAACUAGCCCAGUGGCCGAUAUAAUUACAGGGAUAACAUGUACUGCUUUUAGGGUUGUGGUCCGAGGGAUGUGAGACGUCGAUGAAAUACGCCUUUUUAUUAGCCUUAUCCAGCAGAAUAAUGUCUGGUCUAUUGCUGGCUAUUGGUUUAUCUGUUACUAUAGGUGUAUCCCAGUAUAGCCGAUAAUUUUCGUUCUCAAGAACUGGAGCAGGUUCGACUUCUGCGUUUCUGUUGCUGCGAGCAGUCAAUUCUUCAUCAACCUCAGCG